ensembl:lncRNA
GUCAUAAAUAUGUUAGACCAAUUAUGAUAAUUAGUAGGUGGAGAUAAAGGGGCAACAUGUCCCAAUAUGGGAAUACCUGCGAGGGUCUUGAAGAACUGUUUAUCUAUUAUGCAAAUGUACCUCAACUUUCAAUAAAACAAGCCUGUGUCCAGGGGAGGGGCAGAACACUUAUGGAGGGGAGUGAAGCAGACUGAAAGGCCUGUGUUCACUGUGUUCUCCCUUUUGCAAAAGGCGAAACUACAAAACCCAGGGUAUUUUCUUUCACUCUGUUCUGAAUACAGGAAACGGAAUCUGACAAUCCGGGGUGACCAGGGAAGGUCACGACAACAUACAUUAAUUAUUGAAAUGAUAUUAGCCUUCUCUUAAGCCAAAGGUCCACAUUGACAUUUGUCUGUUUGUGCCGCAUCAACUGUUCUGCCGCAAUAAGAAAACAUCAAAUGACGUUUACUAACCACAAGUUCCACAAAUGAACAUGUAACAAUGAACUUUAAAUGUGUCUCAAUCACGCAGUUUAGUGAAAAUGUGAGGACAGACCUCUUACUCACGCGUCUCUGCGUCCCUUGUCUUUGUCAGCUGCAAAGAAAACAAUAAGCUGUUUGAUCCUCUGUCUAUCCUCCUUGUAUGGUGAAGGUCUCACAGCAGCGGGGAAAGUGAAAGAGAAACUGGCUGAUGUCUUUGUAGUCGGGAUCAUACAUAUAGAAAGAAACAGCAUCCACUCCUGUAGAGUUAAACUGAAGAGCCAACAUCCCACUGUGGUUCUUGUCAGUUGUGAUGUGUCUGCACAUAGUUAAGAUUCACUAUGCUGUUACGGGUGAGACCCACGGUGCUCACGACACCAUACUGGAAAAAUUAAAGGGAGGAUGUAUAUGGGUGCAGAUAUCAUCCCUGCAGGACUGUGACAUCACCAUUGUCUUCUGUCCAAUCCUGUCUCGUGCUGGCUCGGAUGUGGAGGCAGUCAGGACACAUCCAGCAGUGUCAUCCAACGAUAAACCAGUCAUUGUGGUGCUGAUGCAUCACACCAUCGAUGAGGAGUAUGCAAGUGGAGGAAGAAAAUGGUUUGAAGAUCCAAGGUUUGUGUUAGAGGUUCCUGUUCUCUUCCAUGAGACUCAGGAAGGAUUACUUCAAUGUGAACUAAAUAACCAUUCUGUCAGAGAAAUACGAGGAGUGUUACACAGACACAGUAAAUGUGCAGAUACGCAAAUUACUUUAUGCAUCUUAGUGGUAUUAGUGUUUUCAUUUGUUGUAUACAUGGGGGUUGUGUUUCUGAAGGUUUAUUUGCCCAGGAAUUAAAAUCAGUUGGUCGUUUGAUACUCAGCCAUUCCCUGACAAGGUGGCAAUGGUUAGGUCCAAUGUGUGGAUAGAAGUACAUUCUGCUGCAGGGAAUUAAUCUGAACAUACUGUACAUACGCAUAAGUUGCUGACUGCCCACACAGCAAUAUUGUAGUGAAUUUGUGCAUGUGUUUGGUGUGUUUUACAAUUUACAUACAGAAUUGUACAGUAUAGUUUUAAAAAACUACCAAGAAUAUUUCUGCUUUAUUGGGUUGUUAAUGAUAUAAUAUCCUGAGAUCUGUAAGAUCAGUGUAACCAAGAAUGGCAUGUGAUGUCUGCUUUGCUGGUGUUCACAGCUCUAUAGCGACUCCAAGAGGUGAUCAGAUGGAAGUGUUUGAUAUUUCAUUGUUCAAUAUUUCAUGUUUUCUCCUUGUUACUGUCAAUAUUGUCAUGACAAAAAUAGCCAAUAAUAAAUGGGCCCAAAUCAGAUUUGAUUAAUAUUUG